GUCGCACGAGCGCACCCUUGUCCUAAGUUGCCAGCGCGAUGAUGCCGGGAACUCUGGGGAGACUGCCGGUGAUAAACCGGAGGAAGGUGGGGACGACGUCAAGUCAUCGUGGCCCUUACGGCAUGGGCUACACACGUGCUACAAUGGCCGGUACAAAGGGCUGCAAGCCCGCGAGGGGUAGCGAAUCUCAUAAAGCGGGUCUAAGUCCGGAUUGUAGUCUGCAACUCGACUGCAUGAAGGCGGAAUCGCUAGUAAUCGCGUAUCAGCAACACACGGGAAUACUUCCGGUCUUGUACACACCCGCCGUCCAGCCUUGGAAUCCGGAAGGCCCAAGCUCCGGGACUUACCUUCGUGAAGGAGCCUGCUAAGGUAAGAUUGGUGACUGGGGCUAAGUCGUAACAAGGUAGCCGUACCGGAACCUGCGGCUGGAUCACCUCCUUU
rnacentral:rRNA from 1 species